GGUGUUUGAAGUAUUUGUUAAAUAUAUAAUAUUAUAUGAUAAUGAGUAAUUAUUAUUAUAUAAUAAUAAAUAAUAAGUAUUUGUUAAAUAUAUAAUAUUAUAUAAUAAUAAAUUGUAUUUGUUUUGGGCAGGGGACGAGCCAGGGCUCCGGAUUCCUCAGCCCUGACCCACGGUGCGCAUCCCACGGGAACGGGGACCGCCUCCCAGGAGCCUCCCACUGCUCUGCCUCAGCUCUGGCUCGCAAAAUCAGGUUCAGGAAGGGCAGGAGAUUGUUCCUGCUUCUAGGUGGUUUCGCCAGAAUUUGUCACCUAUGGAAGCAGAGUGAGACCAUGACUGGCUUCUGUUCCUAGCCCUGCAGAAGAGCUCCAGGGAUACCACACUUUCCCUUCUUGCAUGGAAAAGAAGACUCUAUUUUCAACCACAAGAAGUUCACACAUGAUGAUUUAAUAUGAAAAUAACUUAAACCAUAGCACCUUCCUCAUUCUAAGGUGUUAUGUGUGAAAAUGGGUUCUAUGCCAAUGAUUUCUUUACUGAGAAGAAAACUUCAGAUUGUCUGUCUCCAGGAGAGAAUACUGCAGAUUGACAAUAUUAAAUUUCUUUAAGAGGUGAAACAAAAUACAUGGGCUUACAGAAGGAUUAGAAAAUUAUAUCCCAGCUGGAAAAUUUUAUGGCUACAGAAAAAAAUUGUGUGAGUGAAAUACCAGUAUCAUAAAAUAAAUAACAGGAAAUAUGGUAAUUUAUGUGAUAGAGAAAAUUGUCACUUUCAGAAUUGCCAGAAAGUCAACAACAUUUCACCCAUUUGACUUCAGAAAUGAACUUAGACCUAAGAGGCUUAAAAAUAUAUGAAGAGAAGUGAAAUGAAAUAAAAGCUCAUGAAUCCAAUAGGGAUUUACAAAGAAGAAAGUAAUCUGUGCUAAAAGAGUUUUAUAGAAGUUGGGAAUGCAUGUAAUCAGAAUUUAACUUAUUCCUGGAAAGUGAUUUAGAAUAUGCCAAAUAAAUUAAAUUCCAUUCUGCAAGAUGAGCAAUUAAUGGGGCUCCUAAUUUAGAAAGCAUCACAAUUCAGAAAUGGCCUUUAGGCCUGUUUAACCUUAAGC
rnacentral:lncRNA from 1 species